UUCUUACUGCAGCCUCAGCUUUCUGUUCUUGGUUGACUGACCUGCAACCUUAUUUUUUUUCUUUUUCUCUUUUGCUUCAAGGAUUAUUGUCUUGUUUUUCUGCUUACUUUUCUGCUGACUGGCUGAUUAGAAAACACAAAUCAGUAGGUGUACAGAUGUUUCAACAGUUCUUGGUCAACCCACUCAUUAGGACUCCCCCCUAUGGCUAACAAUGCCCAACACCAGAAGGGUGAAGACUAGCACAUGCCACCACCUCUUUUCCAACUGUUGCUAAUGCAGCAUUGCUCAGUAGCAUUACAGCGUGCUCGGAGGAAAGUGCAGAGACUCAGUUCCGAUAUCUUCCAUCUACCCUCCCAGCAAGGUCAAUUGUGCUCUCUCAGGGCUCCAGCAGCUGAUGGCAAGCAGCAUGAAUGGGAUUUAAACCAGUAGGGAGCAGUGUUGCAGUAAACUGUGCCAUCCCACAGUCUUGGCUCCUUCUUUCUGCUGAAAACCACUGAAGAGGGGGGUGCUGAGGAAACCCAAUAUUUCAGGUGAACUGAAAAGAGGCGGACUGGCUAGAGACGCCUUUGUCCUCCAAAGCUGAAGCUGGAGAUCCUGCUUUGUCCAUCAGCUGGGUGUGAAGGGCGUCUAGAGACAAAAAAGCCACCAUAGCAGUGCGCACUGAUGUUCUGGGAUCAGCCUUCCAAAGCAAUUAUACACCUGACUUUUGUGUCGCGUGCUAUUGAUGUCUUGUUUAGGGAGCACAUAGUGAUACCCAGAGAACCCUCAUCUUGUAGUGCUGUUUCAGGAGGUGUUUCUCCCUGUGGAGCUUGAAGAAAGAGGGUGACGCCCACCCAGCAGACCAUAAAGCUUUAGAUCUAUUGAUCAGUCCCUGAACGUUAUUUCUGCGAAAGCUCUUUACAACCUAUACAUAUUGGGACGGUCUUUAUUCUUUUAAAGCUUUCAGUCUAUUCUGUCUAUUGUUAUAAUAUAAUAUAGUGUUAAUGUAAACUUCCAUGGUUUAACAUGAGACACUGAAACCGAAUCCAGAGGAAACAAAUCACAACCAAAACCAUACAGUGAAACAAAAAAAAGGGUGGUGAAGCCUGUAGGAGGGUGGGAGGAUAGAUCUAUCAGAUGCUACGAGGGGUAUCAUUAGAGUAAACUAACUCUAAACAAACGGUUAAUGAAUAACCUACAUAAACGGGUGAUUCUACAUCCACAACCCCUUUUAUGUGAAUCUGCUGUGUAACCUUUAUCAGUAGUUUUGGCUGAAAUUAACAUAGAGCAUGCUUUAUACGUUAGGCCCCAUCCACAUGUAAUCACAUUCUGAAAACUGAGGAUAUAUCUGCAUUUUUCGCCCAUUUACAGCUUUGAAAAAAUAAGAGACCACAUAAAAAUGAUGAGUUUCUUUGAUUUUACCAAAUUGAAAACCUCUGGAAUAAAAUCAAGAGGAAGAUGAAUGAUCACAAUCCAUCAAACCAAAAAUCGAACUGGUGGAGGAGAACAUGCCAAGAUGCAUAAAAACUGUGAUUAAAAACCAGGGUUAUUCCAUAUGAACGUGAACUUGUUUCCUUUGCAUUAUUUGAGGUCUGAAAGCUCUGCAUCUUUUUUGUUAUUUCUGCAUUUCUCAUUUUCUGCAAAUA